rnacentral:lncRNA from 1 species
CAGCCGCUGUCCAGAGGGAGCCAUUUAUGCUUCAUUGAAUUCAGCCAGUAGUUAGGUCUGCCUCUGGCAGUGAACAGAAGAAAGCAGCCAAGGGUUCACUCCCCCGAGCCAGCACGCAAGGGUGUCCGUGCAGCUGGACUUUCAGGUGUGUCACGCUGGGGCUGAGGCCUCCGGAGGGACUCCUAGAAGGGAGGCGUGCGUGUAAAGCGCCAUCCCUCAGCAGCCCACGACCUCGGACGGUUUGCCACUGUGGCCAGUGUUUUAUUGAUGCUUCUGAGGCCAUAGAGCACGCACGGGGAAGUUCUGAGCACACGGAGGACAAGCCAGGGCGGUGCUGUGUGGCCGCAGUCAACCCUAAGUAGGGGUCCGAGUGGGGGACGGUCGCUAACACCUCGAUUCCUCAUGUCUGUGUUUCUGCAGCUUGGAGCUUGGAGAGUGUGUGUGAGAGCGACCUCGCUGACAGCAACCUCGCAGAAAGUGAUCGAGGUAAGAACAGCUCUCAGGUAGGAGCCAGUGGGAGAGGGUUCCCGGGACACUUGGAACUUAGGCCUGCUGCUUGGAGGGUGGGGCGGGUGAGUGUGCAAUUGCAAAAGAGAAAGAAAUUGGUGUAAAGAUGUUCGUCGCCUAUGUUCCUAAGGAGGGGGAGCAGGUAUGAGAUGCCCGAAUGUUGGCAUCUGUGCUCACGUUGUGUUGGCGGGCCUCAGUCCCUGGAGCAGAGGGAAGGCCUGGGCACCUGGAGGAAAAACCCGGGUGAUGCUGUGUGACCCGCCGUCACCUCGGGGAAGCCGGGGAAACGGGAGGGCCACUCCUUCUCACGCCUCGCUUCCCCGCGGUGUGUUUCUACAGACUCGGUGGCGGAGCGCACCGACUGCCGCCAGGAUGAGGAGGCUGCAGGAACUCACGACGACGAUGUUGUGGAGGCCGGUGGGAGUGAGAAGACUGAGGCAAAGCCCCGGGCUGGGGGACAUGAGGACGAGGCGGCCCCAGUACCUGAGGUGGAGGUGGAGGAGGAGGCGGGCCAGCCCCGUGAAAAUGGCCAGGAGGAGUCCUUAGCCAUCGCCUGGGCUGAGCCGGAAGACGAGCCUGGCCCCAAGGUGGACGGGGUGGACGAUGAAAUCUGUGAGUAUUCUGGAGCCCGGCUCUGCUGAGGAGAAGUCCAGGUGUUGAGGAAAUGGGGGGGGGCCCGCGAGGGAGGCGGGGUGGGGGGCUCUCCUGCUCCUUUGGUUGCAGAGACACCCUGAUUCUGGGUUCCUCCUGGGAAUGAGGGUGAAGGAUGGGGUGAAAGAGACGGACUUCCCAAGAAGGGCCACCCCAGGUUCUAGGGUCCCUGGACGAAAGGAGGCUCUUUGUAUGGCGUGGGUAGGUGUCGGGGGACACGGCCGGGGGGGUGGGAGGGUGGUGCGUGUGAGGGCCUGCUGGUGUGAUUGGCAAUCAGUGUGAGUGGGUGUGUGCUGUGGGGAGCUGUUUGUGGCUUAGCACCACACAGCUGUCCAGCUUCUAAUUGAGGAGUCUCACGAUGACCGCAGGCUAACCGUCCAUUCCCUCGUUCUGCCCGCACCGGCUGGGAGCAAGGGUUUGGGGGAAAGGCAUUGCUUCCUCUGUUGGUCUUUCUUUUCCUUUUCGCUUCCCUCUCUGCCUUGUGUGGACUUUGAUACCGUUGUUUCAAAGUGCCAGGGACUCGAGCCCCUUCAGGCUGUGAGUGUCCCGAGGAGUGUUGUGAACGCUGUGCUCCACCCGCACCUCCUGCCCACUCUGGGCAGCCACCCUUCCAGCCUCUGCUCAGGAGUGGUGUGUCAGACACUUGAUGCGCAUGACAUCAGAGAGUCUUUGUCCUUCUGUGCCUGACUUGCUUCGCUUGAAAUGCUGUCCUCCAGCGAGUUCCUGUCGAGGCUCAGUGGUCAUGAACCCGACUGGUAUCUCUGAGGAAGCGGAUUCGACCCUUGGCCUUGCUCAGUGGCGGCAGAGGUCCCAGACGCGGCUGGUAUCCAGCUUUGCUGCGGCUGGGGUGUGGGCCGGUGGCUACAGCUCUGAUUUGCCGCCUCGCCUGGGAAUUUCCAUAUGCCGCGGGGGCCGCUCUCAAACCCCGAAAGGAAU